ANACGCUGGCGGCGUGCUUACACAUGCAAGUCGUACGAGAACACCUUAGCUUGCUAGGGUAAGUAAAGUGGCGCACGGGUGAGUAACGCGUGGGUAAUCUACCUUCGAAUUGGGGAUAACGUUGCGAAAGCGACGCUAAUACCGAAUAACAUCCAUAGAUCUUAUGAUUUUUGGAUCAAAGGUGGCCUCUACAGGUAAGCUACUGUUUGAAGAUGAGCCCGCGUACCAUUAGCUUGUUGGUGGGGUAAUGGCCUACCAAGGCGACGAUGGUUAGCUGGUCUGAGAGGAUGAUCAGCCACACUGGAACUGACACACGGUCCAGACUCCUACGGGAGGCAGCAGUGAGGAAUUUUGCGCAAUGGGCGAAAGCCUGACGCAGCAACGCCGCGUGAGUGAUGAAGGCCUUCGGGUCGUAAAGCUCUGUCAAGUGGGAAGAACCUGCGAUAUGUUAAUAUCAUAUUGCACUGACGGUACCACUGAAGGAAGCACCGGCUAACUCCGUGCCAGCAGCCGCGGUCAUACGGGGGGUGCAAGCGUUAUUCGGAAUCAUUGGGCGUAAAGGGCACGUAGGCGGCUUGGUCAGUCAGUUGUGAAAGCCCGGGGCUUAACCCCGGAAGUGCGAUUGAUACUGCCGAGCUUGAGUAUGGGAGAGGGAAGUGGAAUUCCUGGUGUAGAGGUGAAAUUCGUAGAUAUCAGGAGGAACACCGGUGGCGAAAGCGACUUCCUGGACCAAUACUGGACGCUGANGUGCGAANGCGUGGGUAGCAAACAGGAUUAGAUACCCUGGUAGUCCACGCAGUAACGUUGUUCACUAGGUGUAGCGGGUAUGAC
rnacentral:rRNA from 1 species